AGAUUCUUCGGAUGAUUGAUUGGUGACUGAGUGGCGGACGGGUGAGUAACGCGUGGGUAACCUGCCCUGUACAGGGGGAUAACAGUUGGAAACGGCUGCUAAUACCGCAUAAGCGCACGAGAGGACAUCCUCUUGUGUGAAAAACUCCGGUGGUACAGGAUGGGCCCGCGUCUGAUUAGCUGGUUGGCAGGGUAACGGCCUACCAAGGCGACGAUCAGUAGCCGGUCUGAGAGGAUGAACGGCCACAUUGGAACUGAGACACGGUCCAAACUCCUACGGGAGGCAGCAGUGGGGAAUAUUGCACAAUGGGGGAAACCCUGAUGCAGCAACGCCGCGUGAGUGAAGAAGUAUUUCGGUAUGUAAAGCUCUAUCAGCAGGGAAGAUAAUGACGGUACCUGACUAAGAAGCUCCGGCUAAAUACGUGCCAGCAGCCGCGGUAAUACGUAUGGAGCAAGCGUUAUCCGGAUUUACUGGGUGUAAAGGGUGCGUAGGUGGCAGUGCAAGUCAGAUGUGAAAGGCCGGGGCUCAACCCCGGAGCUGCAUUUGAAACUGCAUAGCUAGAGUACAGGAGAGGCAGGCGGAAUUCCUAGUGUAGCGGUGAAAUGCGUAGAUAUUAGGAGGAACACCAGUGGCGAAGGCGGC
rnacentral:rRNA from 1 species